CUUAGUACGAGAGGACCGGGAUGGACGUAUCUCUGGUGUACCAGUUGUCCUGCCAAGGGCAUGGCUGGGUAGCUAUGUACGGAAUGGAUAAGCGCUGAAAGCAUCUAAGCGCGAAGCCAACUUCAAGAUAAGAUUUCCCACCGCAAGGGUAAGACCCCAGAAAGACUAUCUGGUUGAUAGGUCGAAGGUGUAAGGGCAGCAAUGUAUUUAGCUUAUCGAUACUAAUAGGUCGAGGACUUGACCAAU
rnacentral:rRNA from 1 species